rnacentral:rRNA from 1 species
UACGUAGGCAGCAAGCGUUGUUCGGAAUUACUGGGCGUAAAGCGAGUGUAGGCGGUUCGAUAAGUUUGGUGUGAAAUCUCCCGGCUCAACUGGGAGGGUGCGCCGAAGACUGUCGAGCUAGAGUGUGGGAGAGGUAGGCGGAAUUCCUGGUGUAGCGGUGAAAUGCGUAGAUAUCAGGAGGAACACCUGCGGUGUAGACGGCUUACUGGACCACGACUGACGCUGCAACUCGAAAGUGUGGGGAGCAAACAGG